ACCACUGCGACAGGUGAGGGGCUGACAGGUGCCUUUCAUAGACGCAGUAAGGAUACUCCUCGAUGCUGCGGAUGUCGACAGCAAUGAUUUUGGGCUUGCUGGAUUUGGUCCUCUUGGCGGGCCCGGCCAGAGUCAGCUCGCAGAGGUCGAUUAAGUCCUCGGCCGAGAUCCUGGGGGAUACUUCUGCUUUCAGGUCACACAGCGCCAGAGGCUCCCGAGACUACAAGACAGGAAGGCACAGGAGGUCAGAUGAAGAGGGAGGAAAACUCUAGCGCAGACUUUCAGAGAAUUUCUAAACAGAAUUUAAAUAACGGAGAAGCAGUCACUGUAAAAUGCCGAAAUCUGCUCCGCAUUAAUGAAAUACUUCACCUCAUCAUCACACCUCAUCCUUUUAAAUCUGCUAACUCGAGAAUAGAAGUUCAUUAUGUGUUACCAUAAAAACAGUGUUACAGCUCAGAGAGCGCCACAGAUGACCAGCUGCAGCGACUGGAACAUGGUCCUUUGCAAGUUUCCACGUGCGCUGGCAAACCAGUUUAUUAAAGCGCUGAGUCAGGGGCACGGCUGCAGGGGGCUGAACCCUGGUCUCUGCAAACGGGAGCCAGCGCAACACCGUCAUGAUUCCCAGACGCCCUGAAAUCAUUUUAACCGUAAAAUGUGAAAAAAAAAGUGAGGACGCAGUUAAAAAAAACAACUAACACAUUCAUGUGUUUUGUGAUAAUGAGAGGUCAUUAAGCAGUCUGCUACGUCCAUUCACUGAUACGCAAAUUAAACAGGAGAGAAAAACUAACAGCUUUAUCUGUGAAUUUCAGCAUACUGUGUGAAAGCUAUUUACAAAGCAGAGACGGGCCAACUGCACAUCAAGCAGGUUAAGUGCCAAAACCAUCCAUCCAGGAAAUAACACGUUUGAAAGCGGAGAAGUCCAUUGGCCGGCUGAACAAUCCUCCGCCCACCCAACGGCGAAGAAGUCAGCGACUUCUGCGAGCCCACAAAAGAUUUUUGACAUCUCCAUUUGUUGUUUUUUUUUGGUUUUGAGCCCAAUAUUUUGCACAAAAAACUACCACAUGAUCGGCUUGGGAUACACUACAGUUUAUUUUUCAUGCAUCGAUAAUAAUGAUCCAGUUAUUUAUCACCGACAGAGGCCAUUCUGCUUCACAGGUCUCAGCUUUCACGGUGAUGGACUCAUACAAAAGCAAUGCCUCACAGCGUGUGGUGGUAUCUGCAGAGACCCCACCCUCUGCAUGCAUUUUCAGAUUUGGACGUGCUUGGGAAGUUUCUGGGCGUCAACCUUUUGUCAACCAAUAACGGCGUGCAGCAGGUGGUGCGCCGGGCUGAGCCGUGAGCUUCUGGUGACGUUGAACCAGGGAAGAGGAGCCUUUUGAAAGAUAAGUGCUCCUUAAUCUUAUAUAAUUAUUAUAUAAUAAUAAUAAAAAAAAUUGCAAAUUUCUCUUUGGAGAUGAAUAAAGUAUCUAUUUAUCUAUCUAAUCUGCCUUUAAACAGACUAUUUACAUUCUGUACUCUUUCAUUCUUAUGGAAAAUAUUACUUGAGCCAUAUGGACUAUAUGUAGUUUAUCAUAUCAACCCAAACAUCUUUGUAAUAAUCCCAUUCAAUAAAGUGCAACCAGGCAUAAAGAAGGUUUUUCUCCUUAUAGCCAAAAUCCUACACUGGUAGUACUUUCACUUGGCUCCGCCUGCAGGGUUUUACUGAGGCAUAAUUCUGGGUACAUCCAAAAUCUUCCUUCCCUUGUAAAGCCUGACUGCAGGCUCUAUAGAGACAGGCAAAGCUGUUACAUCUCCUCUUUCAAAUUCUCCAAACAAUUGGGUUUUUGUUUCUGCUUCUAAUAAAUAUUCAUAGCCUGAUUAUUUCAGUAAGUGUCUGAUUUCAACUGUGAUUAUGGCGAAAUGUGUGUCUCGAUUCUCUACAGCAGUCAUUUGUAUGGAUUUGUCUACGGGGUGAAGCUUAACUCUGCCGCAGCAACACGGGGUCAGGAUGGGAAAAGGGAAGAGAUUCGAGGGGCGGCGCGUUGUUUUCGACAAACAACUUUAUUCUGCUCUUUUGAACGAUCAACAGAGAGCUUGACAAUAGCUCCUCUGGGCCACAUGAGAGCACAAGCAGAGCGAAGAUCUACAUAUUCAUUACCUCUUCCUGCCAUGAACAAUCAUUUGGUUUGGUGCCAAAAAGAAGUCGCUCACCUCUCGGAUUUCUUUUUCAAUUUUCAAUCAGCCACCGACACAUAAAUGUUUAAAGAGUGAACAGAAAAACAGGAACAAUUGGACCUGUUUGAUACCGCACACGCAAUAAAUACUGCCGUACACAUGA